rnacentral:rRNA from 1 species
AGGAUUCCCCUAGUAACUGCGAGUGAAGCGGGAAAAGCUCAAAUUUAAAAUCUGGUGGUCUUUGGCCAUCCGAGUUGUAAUUUAGAGAAGCGUCUUCCGCGCUGGACCAUGCACAAGUCUCCUGGAAUGGAGCGUCAUAGAGGGUGAGAAUCCCGUCUUUGGCAUGGACCCCCAGUGCUUCUGUGAUGCGCUCUCAAAGAGUCGAGUUGUUUGGGAAUGCAGCUCAAAAUGGGUGGUGAACUCCAUCUAAAGCUAAAUAUUGGCGAGAGACCGAUAGCGAACAAGUACCGUGAGGGAAAGAUGAAAAGCACUUUGGAAAGAGAGUGAAACAGUACGUGAAAUUGUUGAAAGGGAAACGCUUGAAGUCAGUCGCGUCGACCGAGACUCAGCCUUGCCUUGGCUUGGUGUACUUCUCGGCUGACGGGUCAGCAUCAAUUUUGAUCCUUGGAUAAUGGCAAGGGAAAGGUAGCACCUUUACAGGUGUGUUAUAGUCCUCUGUCGGAUGCAAGGGUUGGGAUUGAGGAACUCAGCACGCACCUUGUCGGUGUCGGGGCCUUGGCCUACGUUACGUGCUUAGGAUGCUGGCAUAAUGGCUUUAAACGACCCGUCUUGAAACACGGACCAAGGAGUCUAACAUGCACGCGAGUGUUCGGGUGGAAAACCCGUGCGCGUAAUGAAAGUAAAAGUUGGGACCUCUGUCGUGGAGGGCACCGACGCCCGGACCAGACCUUCUGUGACGGCUCUGCGGUAGAGCGUGUAUGUUGGGACCCGAAAGAUGGUGAACUAUGCCUGAAUAGGGUGAAGCCAGAGGAAACUCUGGUGGAGGCUCGUAGCGAUUCUGACGUGCAAAUCGAUCGUCAAAUUUGGGUAUAGGGGCNAAAGACUAAUCGAACCAUCUAGUAGCUGGU